GACGAACGCUGGCGGCGUGCCUAAUACAUGCAAGUUGAGCGCUGAAGGUUGGUACUUGUACCAACUGGAUGAGCAGCGAACGGGUGAGUAACGCGUGGGGAAUCUGCCUUUGAGCGGGGGACAACAUUUGGAAACGAAUGCUAAUACCGCAUAAAAACUUUAAACACAAGUUUUAAGUUUGAAAGAUGCAAUUGCAUCACUCAAAGAUGAUCCCGCGUUGUAUUAGCUAGUUGGUGAGGUAAAGGCUCACCAAGGCGAUGAUACAUAGCCGACCUGAGAGGGUGAUCGGCCACAUUGGGACUGAGACACGGCCCAAACUACUACGGGAGGCAGCAGUAGGGAAUCUUCGGCAAUGGACGAAAGUCUGACCGAGCAACGCCGCGUGAGUGAAGAAGGUUUUCGGAUCGUAAAACUCUGUUGGUAGAGAAGAACGUUGGUGAGAGUGGAAAGCUCAUCAAGUGACGUUAACUACCCAGAAAGGGACGGCUAACUACGUG
rnacentral:rRNA from 1 species